rnacentral:rRNA from 1 species
CUAAGAGAAUGGUUUAACAAAAAUUGACUUUUUUUGUAUUUAUAAUAAAAAUUAAUGUAAAAAUGAAAAAGUUUUUAUUAUUUUUUGGGACAAGAAGACCCUAUGAAUUUUUUUUAAGUAUUUAUUUUAAAAGUAUUGUUUUUGAAGGUUAAAUAAAAAUUUAAGUUGGUUGGGGUGAUUUAUAAAGAUUUAAAAUCUUUAGUAAAAAGAAGUAAGUAGAACCAAAAAUUUUGGAUAUUUGAUUAAAAUACUCUAGGGAUAACAGCGUUAUUAUUUUGGAUAGUUCAUAUAGAUAAAAUAGUUUGCGACCUCGAUGUUGGAUUAAGAUACUUUAGUGAUGUAGCAGUUAUUUAAAGGAGUUUGCUC